CGCAAUCCUUGUUUUGAAUUUACAUCAUGAUUUGCAAGAAGAAGAAGAAACUCAAUUGCAAAACAUAGUUGUUGCACUUAUCGUAAAGAAUAGUACUAGUAUCUUGGGGUCCAUCGCAGAUGUAAUGAUCGACCCAUCCAAAAACAUAGGCACAAUGCCUUAGACUCAACCAAUAUGAUCUACUACUAGUAGUUAUUAACCAAAAUCUAAACAAUAAGCCUUGAUGGCUUGUGUUCAAGUAAUAUUAAGUCUGAUGACUCAUUUGCCAAUAAAAGAAACUAUAAGGGCUUAGUCUCAAAUGGCGAAGGGAUAAGGUUUGUCCUAAUCUCUCUCUUCCCCGUACGGUUAAAUCCCGUGAGGAUUUUCUCCAGAGAAAGAGAAAUAUCGCCACAUCCAUUUACAUCAGGAGAGAGUGGACGCGCCGGUCGUUGGUUGCCUCUGCCACCGCCGGGGAGUGCGUCUACACCUGGAGUGACACGGUCAACCGUUGGCCGCAGGCCACCGCCUGUGGCUGUGCGGCCGCAUCGUCGAUCUUGCCGCGAGGAUGAAGCGGCCGAGGGCUGGCGUGUGCUCUGCUAUGUGAGUCGCUCCGCCUUAGGACGGGCUUGCCUCGUCUAGAGUGCGUCGCCGCUGCCACCGCCGCAAGACAGAAAGCGCUACUGUUGCAGCGCCAUUGCUCGUGUGGGCGCCUACCGCUGUUGCCGGAGCGUCUAAUUAGACUGAAGGGCGUCGCACCAGAUCUGUUGCUGUGCCGAGAGGAGCGUCGCUGCGCCGUUGCGCGCCACUGCCUCCUGUCCCGCAGUGGGGUGCAACGAUGAGACUCCGUGCGUGCCGGAGGAUGUCGCUGCGGAGGGUCGGCCAUGGCCAUAUCCUCGGCGCCGUCGAUCUGCGCGGAUGUGAUCCUUUUCUUGUUCUGCUCUUUUUGUUUGUAGUUCACGAUUGAUCAAUUCUUCGUCAGAUUCGUGUGAGCGCAUAUACAUACAGGAGAAAAACAAUUCAUUGUUAGAUUAGUAGUAAUUGAUUGCAAGAAGACAAGAUCAGUCAAUCAAUCUCCUGAUUAGUUUCUUUCCUUUUGUACGAGGAACAUCUCGCCUUCGCCGUGAAUCGUGUGGUGGCCGAAACUCCAGUAGCCAACUUCUCCAGACUUCUCCGGUCAUCGUCUGCGGCAAUUGCAGAUCGCCGGAAUGGCCUCCGCUCUCGGUAGAGUUGCUGCGUUGGGAGGCUGGGUCAUGGUAUGAUGGCCUCUGGCCAUAGAGAGGCCUUGCCUUUUGCUGCCGCUGCCGCCGGUAGUCAUGUGGCGGAUUGAAGAGCCGGAGGGCUUCGCUUCGACGCGCCUACAGAGGAGGGCGUCUCGACCAUGGAGUGCCUCAGCCGCCUGCAUCACGCGCUCGUGGUGCGCCGCUGGAGCGCUGUCGAGGCCGAGGGUCCUUGUGUCCUUGGCGCUGGAGGGAGUCGCCGCCACAGCCGUGUAUCAGGCCGAUGGCCAGGGACGCUUGGUGCCGUCGAGUUCUUGGCCUACUUGCUCUCUGGAAGAGGCGUGCGUGAUAACGUGUUAAAGUAAAAAUGAUUGAGAGAAUGAACUUCUUAUUUUAUUGAUUGAAGAGUUGGG
rnacentral:rRNA from 1 species